rnacentral:misc_RNA from 1 species
UUUCCGUAGGUGAACCUGCGGAAGGAUCAUUAACCAGUAACGGGGGCGGACCUUGAAUGGUGACCAAUUGCGAUCCUCUGGCCGGAUAAGUAGCCAUGAUCGCCGGGCAAGUCGACUUGCCCGACCACUUCUCUCCGCCCUGUCUGAUACACCCAUGCUUUUUGCGUACCACUGUUUCCUCGGCAGGCUUGCCUGCCAGCAGGACCCUUUUAAACCCUUUGCAGUUGCAGUCAGCGUCAGAAAAACAUAAUAGUUACAACUUUCAACAACGGAUCUCUUGGUUCUG